rnacentral:tRNA from 2 species
GCGGGUAUAGCUCAAUUGGCUAGAGCGUGGUCCUUCCAAGUCCAAUGUUGCGUGUUCGAGUCACGUUACCCGCU